rnacentral:rRNA from 1 species
GAUGAACGCUGGCGGCGUGCCUAAUACAUGCAAGUCAAGCGAACGGACGAGAAGCUUGCUUCUCUGAUGUUAGCGGCGGACGGGUGAGUAACACGUGGAUAACCUACCUAUAAGACUGGGAUAACUUCGGGAAACCGGAGCUAAUACCGGAUAAUAUUUUGAACCGCAUGGUUCAAAAGUGAAAGACGGUCUUGCUGUCACUUAUAGAUGGAUCCGCGCUGCAUUAGCUAGUUGGUAAGGUAACGGCUUACCAAGGCAACGAUGCAUAGCCGACCUGAGAGGGUGAUCGGCCACACUGGAACUGAGACACGGUCCAGACUCCUACGGGAGGCAGCAGUAGGGAAUCUUCCGCAAUGGGCGAAAGCCUGAUGGAGCAACGCCGCGUGAGUGAUGAAGGUCUUCGGAUCGUAAAACUCUGUUAUUAGGGAAGAACAUAUGUGUAAGUAACUGUGCACAUCUUGACGGUACCUAAUCAGAAAGCCACGGCUAACUACGUG